rnacentral:rRNA from 1 species
GACGAACGCUGGCGGCGUGCUUUAGGCAUGCAAGUCGAACGCGAAAGCCCCUUCGGGGGUGAGUAGAGUGGCGAACGGGUGAGUAACACGUGGGUAACCUGCCCCUCGCAGGGGGAUAACCGGGGGAAACCCCGGCUAAUACCCCGUACGCUUGCUGGGGCGCAUGCUCCGGCAAGGAAAGGUAGCUUCGGCCAUCCGGCGAGGGAGGGGCCCGCGGCCCAUUAGCUAGUUGGUGGGGUAACGGCCCACCAAGGCGACGAUGGGUAGCUGGCCGGGGAGGGGGGUCAGCCACACUGGGACUGAGACACGGCCCAGACUCCUACGGGAGGCAGCAGACAGGAAUCUUGCGCAAUGGGCGAAAGCCUGACGCAGCAACGCCGCGUGGGCGAUGAAGGCCUUCGGGUCGUAAAGCCCUGUUGUCGGGGACGAAGGGCGAAGGGUUAAUAGCCCCUAGCCUGACGGUACCCGACGAGGAAGCCCCGGCUAACUACGUGCCAGCAGCCGCCGUAA